rnacentral:rRNA from 1 species
CAAGUCGAACGGCAGCACAGGAGAGCUUGCUCUCUGGUGGCGAGUGGCGGACGGGUGAGGAAUACAUCGGAAUCUACUUUUUCGUGGGGGAUAACGUAGGGAAACUUACGCUAAUACCGCAUACGACCUACGGGUGAAAGCAGGGGACCUUCGGGCCUUGCGCGAUUGAAUGAGCCGAUGUCGGAUUAGCUAGUUGGCGGGGUAAAGGCCCACCAAGGCGACGAUCCGUAGCUGGUCUGAGAGGAUGAUCAGCCACACUGGAACUGAGACACGGUCCAGACUCCUACGGGAGGCAGCAGUGGGGAAUAUUGGACAAUGGGCGCAAGCCUGAUCCAGCCAUACCGCGUGGGUGAAGAAGGCCUUCGGGUUGUAAAGCCCUUUUGUUGGGAAAGAAAUCCAGCUGGCUAAUACCCGGUUGGGAUGACGGUACCCAAAGAAUAAGCACCGGCUAACUUCGUGCCAGCAGCCGCGGUAAUACGAAGGGUGCAAGCGUUACUCGGAAUUACUGGGCGUAAAGCGUGCGUAGGUGGUUGUUUAAGUCUGUUGUGAAAGCCCUGGGCUCAACCUGGGAACUGCAGUGGAAACUGGACGACUAGAGUGUGGUAGAGGGU